CAGGAGCCGACUUUUAAAUCUUGUUUUCUGAAGACCUCUAGUUAUGGUGUAACGAUUACAGCAACAAGCAGAAAUGAAAGGAACGUGUUGUAUGGAACAUAUACAACGGGGCCGAAACCACAACCGGGAAGCUCUGACACUGAAACUCGUGCUGCCUGCGUGGAAUAUCGCUGUCCAACAGAUUCAAACGUGACUGUAAACGUCACCGUCUCUGACGCUGAAUUCCUGUGUACAUCGAAACCAAGCCAAGCCCCGCACCUAUGAAAGUGUUAACGGAAGACAAUACAUUUCAACUAAGUUUAAGUCCACGGGAUAACUUUCGCCCUGCUGAUUGUAUUUAUGUUGCAUUCAAAUCAGUCUUACUUGCAAAGCAAAUGUGUACAGCUGGAUCAGCAGAUAUUGAGAGCAAUUUUAAUGCCAAUCCGUCUUUCAACACGUUCAUUGAAUUUUCAUGUCAAUCACCAAAAUCAUCACCGUUUUGUUGAAUGAAAAAUAAAUAAAAAUGACCUUGUUA